rnacentral:lncRNA from 1 species
AAAAUCAUAAGUAAUUUUUGUUAUUAAAACAAGCAUUUUACAUAAGCAUUACAUUAUGCCUCAUUGGUUAUUCAUAUACAUUUUAUGCUACAUACAUCAAACUUCAUGGCAUACAUCAUGAGCAAUUCAAAUGAAAAAAGUCUAUCUCAGUCCCGCAACAAAACAGCACCACCAAUGCAUUCAUGUAAGCAAGGAUGGAAGGAAUCCAAACUGACAUCAAAACUUCAUGACAUACAAACUUCAAGCAACGGUCCAAACC